UGGCUGUCGUCAGCUCGUGUCGUGAGAUGUUGGGUUAAGUCCCGCAACGAGCGCAACCCUCACUUUUAGUUGCCAUCGUUUAGUUGGGCAGUCUGAAAGAACUGCCAGUGAUAAGCUGGAGGAAGGUGGGGAUGACGUCAAGUCCUCAUGGCCCUUACGUGUUGGGCUACACACGUGCUACAAUGGCAUUUACAACAGGAAGCAAAACGGCGACGUUAAGCAAAUCCUAAAAAAAUGCCUCAGUUCGGAUUGUACUCUGCAACUCGAGUACAUGAAGCUGGAAUUACUAGUAAUCACGGAAAUUGCGCGCCGGGUGUGAAUACGUUCCCGGGUCUUGUACACACGCAUCC
rnacentral:rRNA from 1 species